rnacentral:rRNA from 1 species
UCGCCCUUAGAGUUUGAUCCUGGCUCAGGAUGAACGCUAGCUACAGGCUUAACACAUGCAAGUCGAGGGGCAGCAUCAUCGAAGCUUGCUUUGAUGGAUGGCGACCGGCGCACGGGUGAGUAACACGUAUCCAACCUGCCGACAACACUGGGAUAGCCUUUCGAAAGAAAGAUUAAUACCGGAUGGCAUAAUUAUUCCGCAUGGGAUAAUUAUUAAAGAAUUUCGGUUGUCGAUGGGGAUGCGUUCCAUUAGGCAGUUGGCGGGGUAACGGCCCACCAAACCUACGAUGGAUAGGGGUUCUGAGAGGAAGGUCCCCCACAUUGGAACUGAGACACGGUCCAAACUCCUACGGGAGGCAGCAGUGAGGAAUAUUGGUCAAUGGACGAGAGUCUGAACCAGCCAAGUAGCGUGAAGGAUGACUGCCCUAUGGGUUGUAAACUUCUUUUAUACGGGAAUAAAGUGAGCCACGUGUGGCUUUUUGUAUGUACCGUAUGAAUAAGGAUCGGCUAACUCCGUGCCAGCAGCCGCGGUAAUACGGAGGAUCCGAGCGUUAUCCGGAUUUAUUGGGUUUAAAGGGAGCGUAGAUGGAUGUUUAAGUCAGUUGUGAAAGUUUGCGGCUCAACCGUAAAAUUGCAGUUGAUACUGGAUAUCUUGAGUGCAGUUGAGGCAGGCGGAAUUCGUGGUGUAGCGGUGAAAUGCUUAGAUAUCACGAAGAACUCCGAUUGCGAAGGCAGCCUGCUAAGCUGCAACUGACAUUGAGGCUCGAAAGUGUGGGUAUCAAACAGGAUUAGAUACCCUGGUAGUCCACACGGUAAACGAUGAAUACUCGCUGUUUGCGAUAUACGGCAAGCGGCCAAGCGAAAGCGUUAAGUAUUCCACCUGGGGAGUACGCCGGCAACGGUGAAACUCAAAGGAAUUGACGG